AAAGUAUCCGUCUGUUGUUUCAACAGGCAUCGAAGCGUGUUGGGGUGCGAAGGCAGCCAGCCCAGGCUCCAACGGGGGAAAGUGCAGAAAUGCCCAGUGCUGCUAAUGGGCUGAUUCAAAGCCCUCAAGCGCUUCCCUUCACGAGAGCAUGCGUGAGAGGAAUGUAUUUUGCAAUGGUUUUAUUCAGUCUGGGGUAAUUCCUGUUCUCUYGCUUCCUCUCUGCAUCGUGUAGAUGCCAGCGAACAGCGUGUUUUGCUGCCUCCUCACCUUCAGCCUUUUCAGCAGCUCCCAGCUCAGCGGCUUUCUUCCGUUUUCCUCCUCACUGCACCGAGGACGAUGGUGUUUGAGCAUGCUGAGGGUACUGCAGCGCAGCAUUGCAGAUGUGCAGCACCUGCCAGASUGACUUCCUUAUCUUCAGCUGGAACCUAAGACAAAGAAAAGAAUUUGCUUUAAUGAGCCACUUAUGGAGAAUUUCAUCUCAAUAUUUGCAGCACUAGCACAAGAAAAGUCAGCGCCACGACUUUCCUACCGGGGUUAAGGACAGYGCCCAGAGGAGGUUGGGAGCCUUGAGGUCCUGUGAGUGUGAAGAACAUGUUUAAGUUUUGUUUGUUUGCARGAGAAGAACCUAAUUUGCGUUGCUGCAAAACAAUGAUGCAGAAAACCACAAGAACCCGUCAUUCUGGUCUGGUCCUUGGAUUUUGUCAGAAUUUUUUUAAUGCUCCUUUGCAAUUAAAAUUCUCUCUUGGUUGUCUUCUUGUUAGCAAUGC
rnacentral:lncRNA from 1 species